rnacentral:lncRNA from 1 species
GGAAUAAGCCAUUACUUACCUCAUUCCAUUCCCUCUAAAUAUGGCAAAAAGUAUUCCAGCGACCCCCCCUAUUUUUUUUUCAUUCCGUUCAGUAUUGAUAACACACUUCUCAAUUUUGCCCUCAUCCUCACCUAUUUUCCCUCGCUAAUCCAUUUCCUCUAAUCAAGGGAUCUCUGGUUAUAUAUUUCUUUCAUCUUCAUCAUCGAGCAGAGCUUUAGCAUUUGAACCCUAAUUCACCAAUCACUUGUUUGGAUUUUCGUCAUCAAACACAAAAUCAGUUCAUAGUUCAUGAUAAGGGGGAGUUUGGGGUGGAACUGGGAAUGGAGUAGGGGGAUUGCAGAUGGGGAUGAGGCUGCCCAGAUGCAUCAGUUGUUACAGUUAGUGAAUGAUUUUGUGGGGUCAGAUAGGAAGGAUGAGUGGUGAUGGGUUCUGGACGAGUCUGGGAAAUUUACGGUUAGAAGUAUAAAAGAGCAUCUUGUCCUGCAUAGAUACAGUAUUCCAGAGUAUGUGCACAGGUGGAAUAAUUGGGUUCCAAAAAAUGUGGGGAUUCUCACAUGGCGGGCGAACCUCGAAAGGCUUCCGACUAGGUGUGCGUUGGCAAGGCGGAAUAUAAACGUUCCAAACGGUUUAUGUCCGAUGCAGACUGUUAUGGGAGAUAUAAAAGGGAUGCAGCGGUCUUCGAGCAUAAGCAGAGGAACAUGGAUUGAGAUUUGUGGAACUCAUGUUUGGUUUGAUGUACUGGUGUACUAAAGCUAGCACCCUGCUGGCUAUUUGUUGGUGAGAUAAUAGUAUUUUGUUGGCCUUUCAAAAAAAAAAGAUUUUGAAAGCCAUACUAUAUUACUUCUCAUUAAAGUGUGUGUCUUCAAGAGCAUUCUGUCAUCAUUAUAUUAAAAUUCAGAAAAGAAAAUUAUUGAAGUUAAUGAUUGGAUGAAAUGUGAAAACAAAGGUUUUGU